AUUAGUAGCUGUUUUCCGUCUUCACAACUUAUUAGAGCCUUCUCAUGUUUAUGCAGUCAAUUUGGACCAGUACAAGAUGUUAGGAUUCCUUGUCAGCAGAAGAGAAUGUUUGGGUUUGUAACUUUUGUUUUCCCAGAGACAGUUAAGCAGAUCCUGGCAAAGGGGAAUCCUCAUUUAGUUUGUGGUGCACGUGUUUUGGUGAAACCUUACAGGGAAAAGUCCAAGCUUGUAGAUAGGUAUAUUUCCUGGUUUCUUUUAUUAUGAAGGCUUCUAAUAGUUUAUUUGCAUAUUUGUUAAUUAUAGAUCAAAGAUCCUCAUUUUCAAUGUACCCUACUUAACAUUGUGUGUGGAAUGUUGGGAUGCAAUGAUGUUGCGUUGCUAAUGCCUUUUGUGUUUGUAGUUUAAUGUAUUGAUAUUAGCAGUGAUGGCUCUUUGAAUACUCUCAUUGAUAUGUGAACCUGUAUUUUCAGAUCUGUGGUUGGUUAAAUGGAAUCUCAUUUGUUUCCCUAUCUAACAAUAUUAUCUUCUAUUGAAGAUUACUUCUUCGGGGUAGGGGUAAGGUCUGCGUACACACUACCCUCCCCAGACCCCAUUAGUGGGAUUUUACUGGGUUGUUGUUGUUGUUGAAGAUUAUGAUCAUAAUAAUCUGUCAGACAACUGAGAUACUUGAGGAGCAUUGGCUUAAUUCUUGUCCAAUCUAUUUUAUUUGUUUAUUUUAACUCACCUAGCAUAUUGUUCAGCAAACAUCUUUCAUACAAAUCAAAUUAAUGUUUACACAUUUCCCUCAACUGUUGAUGUCGUGAUUGAGUGAUGCUUCAAAAUAUAUUGUCUUGUGAAAACUUUUCAUUGGAUUGCGUAUAACUUUUUGUAUAGAUUUGCAUUUGAUAUGAUCUUUAUCUUAUCUCUGCAGAAAAUGCCUCGAGAAAGCUUAUCAAGCUUCCUACUAUAAUUCCUCGUUCAUUGACGCAGAAUCCGAACUCCAAUCUUGUAAGAUGCACUUCAACUCAAACAAUCAAAACCUACCUUAUAUUUUGUCAUAGAAGUAAUAAUUUUUAUCGUUUUUUUAGCACCUAGAGUCUGUGAAAAUUCAAGACUAAUGAAAAAACAACUCAUGGAGGAACAAGAGCGUGCAAUUGAGUUUGAGAGGCAGCAUUUUCCAGAGUUGCAAUUAGCUGCAAAAACUUUGCAUCAUCAAAUGCGCCUUGGUUACUCAGUAGAGGAUUUGAAGCUUAGAGAAGGUUCUUUAACAUGUAAUUCUGAAGCAUAUCCUCCCCUAAGAUCCUCGACUAUCCAUCUUUACCUGACAUUGUUCUUUUCUUUGCUUUUCGUGCUUCCUCCUGUAUAGGCCGUAGCGAAAAACUGGAGUUCCCAUCAGCCGAGAGUUUUAAUUACCUGCUAGAUGUAUAUAACAAUGGUUCCACCAGCGAGGACAAAGCUAGGCACGUUAAAAUGAGUCACUGUGACCAAGAAGGGUAAGACAUUUUGAUACUGUCGUUUUGAGUUUUAUGCUCUUUGUAUCAUUUUCUUGAGCCGAGGGUCUAUAGGAAGCAGCCUCUCUACCUUCCCAAGGAAGGGGUAAGGUCUGCGUACAGCCAUACACACUACUCUCCCCAGACCCCACUUGUGGAAUUUCACUAGGUUGUUGUUGUCGUAUGCUCUUUGUGACCAGGAGGUCACUAGUUCGAGCUGUGGAUAUAGCCUCUUGCAGAAUUGCAGGGUAAGGCUGCGUACAAUAGACCCUUGUGGUCCAGCCUUCCCCGUAUUCCACGCAUAGCGGGAGCUUAGUGCAUCGGGCUGCGCUUUAUUGUUGUCGUAUGCGCUUUGUAUCAUUUUGAGUUUGUUGUCGAUAUUUGUUCUUAUUUAAUCAGUUCUUCGGGAUGUUGCAGUGGUCAAGGAUUGAAUCUUCCAGAUAGCCCGUUUGCAUCUCCAAUAAGGAAUGGCAUUUCAACUGUCAUUUAGGUUCAGAAACACAGAAGGAUUAUAGAGUUUAAAGAGGACUGAGUUUUGGAAAGCAGUUCGUUGGUUCGACACAUAAAAGUACUUUUCUUCCUAAAUAUUUCCAUAAAACAGUUACUAUUAAAUAGUUGCUCAACUGCCUGCAAAUACACCUGAUCCUACAGAAAGCGCGAGAAGUUAUUCGUUUUCAUUUUUUAGGUGAACAUCAUAAGAGAAUUACAUAGAAAAAGAAUCGCGACAUGUAACAAGUUUCAUAGGUUUUCAGCUUUGAUAAGAAGUUAAUGAUAGGGAGCAAGUUUGAUGCUUGCUUUGCAGGUUUUAGAAGUUAAAAUGUAAUUAUGGUUUUUUUUCUAAGUGUGAUGGAGAAGAAAAUAGGCUCAGAUUCAGAGUUUGGUGUCCAUUGUAGAGCUCUCUGCUACUUGACAGAAAUGCUAAAUGUUGCUAACAAUAAAGUUAUACAUAGUUUUCAUUUCUAGUCUCUGUUUACUUUCUGAACACAAAUUUGUCAUUUAUAUUUUGGCGUAACCGGUAAAGUUGACUCCAUGUGACCAGAAGGUCAUGAGUUUGAGCCGUGGAAAUAACCUCUUGUAGAAAUGUAGGGUAAGACUGCGUACAAUAGACCCCUGUAGUCAAGCCCUUCCCCAGACCCCGCACAUAGCGGGAGCUUAGUACAUCGGUGAUAUCCGAAUCAGCUUGCAUGCAUAGGUGGUAUUCGAAUCAGCUUGCGUGCACCUCGGGUAAUCCUCUUUGUUUGCUAAAAAUGUAAAUAUAAAGUAGUUGAAUAUGGAUCAUAUAUGUGGUCCUCUACUGCUUGUUCUCUUAGUUGUACAAAAGGGUCCCCAAUAGUAAAGAAAAUGUAUAUUAGACCCUUGAUAUGCGGAACUGAUGCAAGUUGUAUUUUUUUAAAAUUAUAUUUAAUGCCAAAACUAAGUAAAUUGACCAUCUUAGAAAGUUAUUAUUUUGUCGCUUUCAUCCACGUUGAUCUACUUUAUUAUUUAUUGCUUUCACCAUUAUACAACUGAAAAAUAUUGUUUUUUUUUUUUUUGCAAUUUGUGAGAUUGACUUUGAUAAAGUAGUGGUGCUGAAGUGCGACAAUUAUUUAGAUUUGUGGACAUUAUGUGAAUUUUAAUUUUAGAUUUGUAGGACCGACGUAUCUACUAUCUGUUUUUUAAUCUUUUAUACGACACAGAUGUUACAUGUCUAUGGCCAUAAAUGUUUUUGUUCAUACAUUUCUUAGCCACAAACACACUUCAUACUUCAAAAGUAGUUUGAUUCUCUUCGCAUCCACUAGUUUUAUUGAUUUAUAUUUUUUUAAAAUCAAAACUAAGCUCCAUUUGGUAGUUUGUGAGAUAUUUCUUCACUAAAAUAGAAUAGUUUGGAAAUUCAUAGAAUUAUCUAUAAAAUAAUGUAGCAGGAAAUUAAUUUAGGACAAAAGAUAAUAAACAACUUUUGCCAAUUUGGGAUUAAAAAUUAGGAUCUUUUCAUACAUAUGCUAAAUUAUAAAGUUAUUUACCUGAAAUGUGUAAAGUUUGCUAUUUAUCAAAGUAGACUGACUAUAUAUAUAAAUAUAUUUUUUUCACUCUGUUCAUCUGUUCUUUCCAACCUUUUAAAGAUAUAAAUUUUUUCUUAACACAACUUUUUUUUAAACCUCACCAUGGCCGUAGUUAAAUAUAUUUGCCCACUUUAACACCUUUCUGAUAAUAUUUUGGGCUUAUUUUAACUGGUCUCUCCUAGAAAUUUAUAGGUUAAUCCAUCAGAGUUAUUAAGAAGUUGGAAAGAUAACCAUAUACUUAGAGUGAUUUUUUUAGUUAUUUACAAACUAGCAACUAAGAAAUUAAAGAUAUAAGACAUAAUAUAAAAGCUUUAAAUAAAUCGGGGUAAUAAACAGAAAUAUAAUUUAUAAAAACAGUAACUUACAUGUUUACAGGAGAGGGAUUUCCCUUUCGGUAAACUCGAAAGAGUUUACUGGACUUAAAAACUUGCACACUAAAGCAUAAAUCUUUAUUUAUUUUACAUGUUUGAGAUAGAAAAUACUAAAGCAUAUAUAGUGAAAUAUUUUAAAAAGAGAGGUGUGGAGGAUGGUUUUUCUGGUGUAGGUGAAGGGAAUGGUGAAGAGAGUAUGUUUUUCUUCAGAUGGUUGUUGUAGUUGUGUUUUCUGUCUUCAUAGAACACUCAAUUUAUAGGUGUUGAGGACUUCACUUCCGGACUUCAUUUUGUUUGAAGAAUCUUUCCUUUUUCUUGUUCACGUGAAAUUUUCAGAGUCUGUCUUGCAUUAUUGUCCUUGAUUUAUUGUAGAAGAUGGAUCUUUAUUGCAUUAUUGUACCUUUGCAAGAGUCUUUCUUUUGAUUCCUCACUAUCUUUGUCUUUUUCUUUGUUUUAUUCUUGCUAUUAUGAUGAUGAUAUACUUCUACGUGUCAAGAUUAUAUAAAGCUAUUGAAUCAAAACUCAUUCUUGAAUCAUCAUUUGGGUCUUGAGCAUCUUGAUAAUUUAUUCCUAAGUCAUCAUUUGAGUCUUGAGAAUCUUGAUAAUUUAUUCCUAAGUCAUCAUUUGGGUCUUGAGUAUCUUGAUAAUUUAGAUUAUUAUCUUCUCCCGAUGUAACGACCCGACCAGUCAUUUUGAGUAUUAUAACCCCGUUCCCCCAUUUACUGC
rnacentral:lncRNA from 1 species